rnacentral:rRNA from 1 species
CCCUACGGGGGGCAGCAGUGGGGAAUUUUGCGCAAUGGGGGAAACCCUGACGCAGCAACGCCGCGUGAGUGAUGAAGGCCUUCGGGUCGUAAAGCUCUGUCAGAGGGGAAGAAGUGUAGUGCGAUUAAUACCCGCAUUACUUGACGGUACCCUCAAAGGAAGCACCGGCUAACUCCGUGCCAGCAGCCGCGGUAAUACGGAGGGUGCAAGCGUUGUUCGGAUUUAUUGGGCGUAAAGCGCGUGUAGGCGGUCUCUUAAGUCUGAUGUGAAAGCCCCGGGCUCAACCCGGGAAGUGCAUUGGAUACUGGGAGACUUGAAUACGGGAGAGGGUAGUGGAAUUCCUAGUGUAGGAGUGAAAUCCGUAGAUAUUAGGAGGAACACCGGUGGCGAAGGCGGCUACCUGGACCGAUAUUGACGCUGAGACGCGAAAGCGUGGGGAGCAAACAGGAUUAGAUACCCGUGUAGUCCC